AUGAAGAUACACUUUUCAGCGCUGGUGAUAUUAGCAGGCUGGAUGAUGUCUGGAGGCAGCACAGAGAGCAAUGCAACAACAGGAACUACAGUUGCGACUACAUUUACCUCAGAUGUAGCGACUUCACUAACACACACACCAUCAGCAGAUUCCUCUCAGACGCAAUCAACUAAUGAAUCUGUCUCCACGAUCCACAACACAAAUCAAACCACGACUGAGUCCCCGCACAAUGUGAGCAUGAGCACUACGAACAGCUCCACACCUGCCCAGACAACAUCAAAUACAACCUCUGACUAUAACGCUACCUCUGCAGCGACUGUGCUCACCAGCGCGGCCCACAACGCGACCAACGCGUCGACCAGCGCGUCGACCAACGCGUCGACCCCAGUCACAUCGGGUUUGGUGAAUGAAACUCUGACAACACCCUCCUCAGAGAACCAUACCUCAGAGAACACAACUCUGGGAAGCACAAAACCGGUGGUUACUGUUGCCAAAAGCACAACUACACCAAUCAUUUCUACGACUAAAACGGUGCACACUACUUCUGUGUUAACAACACCAACAAAAAAAUCAACAGCAGCAACAAGAACAACAAAAACAACAACAACCACCACAAAACCAGUAACAACCAAACCCCCGGGCUCUGCUGACCACGAAAAGAAGGAUCAUCUGAGCUCAGGAAGUGUCGUUGCCAUCGUAAUUGGCUUUAUUGCUAUUGUACUAAUUUUACUUGUUGGUGCGUACUACUUCAAAAUGCGACGCUCUUCUUAUGGACGUCUUUUGGAUAAUAGUGAUCACAGCUCUGUGGGGAAUUUUCUUAACCCAGUGUUUGAUGGCUAA
ensembl:lncRNA